rnacentral:sRNA from 1 species
AUGGCUGUCGUCAGCUCGUGUCGUGAGAUGUUGGGUUAAGUCCCGCAACGAGCGCAACCCUUACUUUUAGUUGCCACCAUUUAGUUGGGCACUCUGAAAGAACUGCCAGUGAUAAGCUGGAGGAAGGUGGGGAUGACGUCAAGUCCUCAUGGCCCUUACGUGUUGGGCUACACACGUGCUACAAUGGUAUCUACAACAGGAAGCAAAACAGCGAUGUUAAGCAAAUCCCGAAAAGAUACCUCAGUUCGGAUUGCACUCUGCAACUCGAGUGCAUGAAGCUGGAAUUACUAGUAAUCGCGGAUCAGCGUGCCGCGGUGAAUACGUUCCCGGGUCUUGUACACACCGCCCGUCACACCAUGGGAGUUGGUUCUACCUUAAGGCAAAGCUUAAAACCUUUGACCACGGUAUAGUCAGCGACUGGGGUGAAGUCGUAACAAGGUAGCCGUAGGGGAACCUGCGGCUGGAUUACCUCCUUUCUAAGGAUGAUUGAAAGUAAAAUUUCAAUCUAAAUAAUAUACAGGUUAAUGUUGACCGUCCUCAUUUCUCUUCUUAAAAUAGUGUUUCUCUUCUGCAUGGGGGCCGGUAGCUCAGUUGGUUAGAGCACACCCUUGAUAAGGGUGGGGUCGAUAGUUCGAGUCUAUCUCGGCCCACCAAAUUUUAUCUGGGGGAUUAGCUCAGCUGGGAGAGCGCCUGAUUUGCAUUCAGGAGGUCAGCGGUUCGAUCCCGCUAUCCUCCACCAAGAAACACUUCGUUAUUUUUUUUGUGAAUAUUUAAUAAUUUAUAUCAAUAUCUAUAUCCGAACAUUAAUUUAUCUAUUAAUGUUCAAAUAAAAAAUUUGAUUCAACACAGAAUUUUUUUCUGUGCAUAAAUCAAGCGUUUAAGGGCGUGUGGCGGAUGCCUUGGCACUGAAAGCCGAUGAAGGACGUGGUAUACUGCGAUAAGUUACGGGGAGCUGUAUGCAAGUUUUGAUCCGUAAAUUUCCGAAUGGGGAAACCCGG